GUUUGUUGGAUCAGGUUUAAAUUCCAGCGCAGCAAUCGCAGAGCUCCUCCGAAACAUCAUAUUCAGGCGAUUUUCCUUCAUCAAAGUUAUGGUGCAAACACGCUUCCAAUCCUAUGCAGUUGCAUUUUAAACAUGCCGAUCCAUGCAAGACUGAAAGAGGUGCUCAUUCAGUACCAUAACCCUUCAUUAUUUUAAGACGCGGCCAAGCAUGCUCAUGUCAUGCUCCAGAGACUCUCCUUCUGGGAGGAUUUUCUCUCUGCCUUUUCUGUCCACUGAAAUCUGGCCCUUGCCCAGUAUCUGAUCCACCCUGAGAGGAAACAAACAGCGAUUUUGAGCAUAUGAUGAGGAUGUACACCUUUACACUGUUGUUCCUCAAGCUCGAGCAUGGCACAGCAGGAAAAGGCUGGACUUCGGUUAGUGAAUAAGAACUGAUGUUAGUGCAUCUCCAUCAGCUACGUUUUCUGUUAAAAGACAGUAAGAAAGACAUGUUGACAUAUAUGUUUUGUAAAUUAUACAAGUACAGGACAUUCAGAGCAUUAAAUGUUAUUUGCUACAUUU
rnacentral:lncRNA from 1 species